CCUACGGGUGACAGCAGUGAGGAAUAUUGGUCAAUGGAGGCAACUCUGAACCAGCCAAGUAGCGUGCAGGAUGACGGCCCUAUGGGUUGUAAACUGCUUUUAUGCGGGGAUAAACUGAGUCACGUGUGGCUUAUUGCAGGUACCGCAUGAAUAAGGACCGGCUAAUUCCGUGCCAGCAGCCGCGGUAAUACGGAAGGUCCGGGCGUUAUCCGGAUUUAUUGGGUUUAAAGGGAGCGCAGGCCGCCCCUUAAGCGUGUUGUGAAAUGCCGCGGCUCAACCGUGGCACUGCAGCGCGAACUGGGGGGCUUGAGUGCGCCGGAGGCAGGCGGAAUACGUGGUGUAGCGGGGAAAGGCGUAGAGAUCACGAAGAAGCCCGAUUGCGAAGGCAGGGUACCGUAGCGGGACUGACGCUGAGGCUCGAAGGUGCGGGUAUCGAACAGGAGUAGAUACCCGGGUAGUC
rnacentral:rRNA from 1 species